rnacentral:lncRNA from 1 species
AUUAAUUUAAAAGUCACAAUAUGGAUGUAGCUAUUGCAUAUUUCCGCUUUAACACCAAACAUCAGUUCAACAACUGCAGAGUUUGUGCCUCUGUUUUUAAGACAGUACUUACUAGUGUUAAUCAGGGAACGGUUUCUUAAAACCAUCUUAUGGCUAAUUUCACCGUUAGAACCAUUGGACACCUUAAGAUGCGUUUGGGAAACCGGGCCCAGAUUUCCAGUUUCCUCCUCUUCUUCCUCCUCCUCCUUUAUCAAUGUAACAGUCAUCUCCCCCUCUUCCUCUUUCACUCCAUAAACUGCAUCCUCCUCUUCUUUAACUGUAACAUCCUCCUCCUCUUUCCAUCUAGCAAAACGUCAUUGAAAAGAAUACUAUGCCCGACGGCCAAUAAUCAAUUUGUCUAUAAUCAAUUUUAUUAACAAUCCUACAUCACUCCAGUAUUUCUUUACAACAUUCAAAUGCUAAUUGUCUUUAUUUCACUACUGAAGAAGCAUGACUCAAAUCACCUCAUAUUUCAAACAUCCAGCCUGACAAUAGAUACAUGUUUUAUUAUUUCAUGCCUCACCAUUAAGUUAAUUAUUGCCAAGGACAACUUGGUUUCUGAUUGUCUCAGAUGUGGGCAGUCAAAAAUAUGUGUUUUCCGAUCCAACAACAUGCCUAUCGAGAUAUUGCAGGAGUUUGCUCUUGAAAUCAGACAUCACUAAUACAAUUUGAUUUGAUUUUUGUUUGGGCUCGUUCCAAGGGGACGAGAGUUCUAGAAGCUAGUGAGUUUUAGGAUUCUAUAGUAAGAAAAAAUUAGAAAAAUGAUAUAAUUGUAUAUUAUUAUUUAGAAAUACGUGUUUUUUCUUGUUUUUAAUUGUUGACAGCAAGUUGUUUUCUGUUGAUGGUGAGCAAACUUGUCCAACAAAAAUAUAGUAUAUAUUUGUUGUCUUAAGUGGGAAGGUGUUACAGGCUUUGGUUUCCCCAUUUAUGUUUUGAAGUUGGACUUUAGCACGUCUAGCUCGUUAGCACGUCUAGCUCGUUAGCACGUCUAGCUCGUUAGCACGUCUAGCUCGUUAGCACGUCUAGCUCGUUAGCACGUCUAGCUCGUUAGCACGUAGGACGCACUGAUUGGUGUCACCUCGUUAGUCAGUAUGUGUUACACCUGUGCUGGCUUGUCCAUCUCGUUAGUGGGAAGGUGUUUCACCUGAGCUGGUCCAGGUUCUAUUUAAGAGUGUCUGGCCCAGUGCUCCAGUUGUCUUGAUACAUGUGGAGAGUCAACACCUUUAGUUGCUCCACCUUUUUGGUUUGCUUCCUGUCUUUAAGUUUGGUGUGGGUUUUUCUUUUGUUUUCCUCUUCUUGGGCAGAUUUAGUGGGUCUCAUGGUGGGUGUCUUUUAGGUCCCAGUUGUUGUUACUAGUCAACUUUCAGUAGACACCCCCAUAGUGUCUUUCAGAGCCCCUCCUAAAACCCCACCUGUUUAGUUGUGGUUGUUGUCAGUGACUCUUUGUUAGUUCCUCUUCUGUUUGAGCAACAUUUUAGAUUUUUCUUGUAGGGGAACGUAACAACAAACAAUGUAGUAAAACAAGUUAUAUUUUGGGUUGGAUGUUGCAUCCAAUUGUUAAUAUUUUAAUCAAUGGCAUUUCUUUAGGGUGCUCAUUAGCCUUUCAGUUGUUAAUCUUGUUUUUUAUCCUCUGUUUGUUGUGUACUAAAUAUUUCUGUUUGUUUUCAUAGUUUUUUUCCCCUGUGAAACCAUUGUGUUGCAUCCAUGUCUGAAAUGUGCUG